UAAUUAGUUCCCUAAUUUCAUGGGCUUCAAAUUCUCUCUUCUUGUUCAGGGUGGCAAAUAAAGGUGCAUUGGUGUGGAUAUUUUCUAAUAGCUCCUCAUUUCUUUCGGAUUUGAGGUCUACCUUAACUUCCACAGACCUUUGCGGGAAAGGAAUUGGUGAUUUAUAGGGAGGAGGGACAACACAUAGCUCUUCCUUCUCUACCUUUUUGACAACCUCCCU
rnacentral:lncRNA from 1 species